UACGUAGGGGGCAAGCGUUAUCCGGAUUUACUGGGUGUAAAGGGAGCGUAGGUGGCAAGGCAAGUCAGAUGUGAAAACCCGGGGCCCAACCCCGGGACUGCAUUGGAAACUGUCAGGCUAGAGUGUCGGAGAGGCAAGUGGAAUUCCUAGUGUAGCGGUGAAAUGCGUAGAUAUUAGGAGGAACACCAGUGGCGAAGGCGGCUUGCUGGACGAUGACUGACGUUGAGGCUCGAAAGCGUGGGGAGCAAACAGG
rnacentral:rRNA from 1 species